AAGGAUUUAAGUUAAAAUUAAACUAAUAGCCUUCAAAGCUAAAAAUGAAGAAAGUGCUUUAAGCCUUA
rnacentral:tRNA from 1 species